rnacentral:rRNA from 1 species
CACGUAGGAGGCGAGCGUUGUCCGGAAUCAUUGGGCGUAAAGUGUGCGCAGGCGGCCAUGCAAGUCGAGUGUGAAAGCCCCGAGCUUAACUUGGGAAUUGCGCUCGAAACUACGUGGCUGGAGUGUGGCAGAGGAAGGUGGAAUUCCACGUGUAGCGGUGAAAUGCGUAGAGAUGUGGAGGAACACCAAUGGCGAAGGCAGCCUUCUGGGCCAACACUGACGCUCAUGCACGAAAGCGUGGGGAGCAAACAGG